CGAGGGGGGGGGGGGGGGGGGGGAAAAGGGAAGUGUUAGGUUCGGGCCAGGGGAUGUGGGGACCCGUUUUUUCUCCCCCCCCCCCCUCCUCUCUCCUCUUUUCUCUG
rnacentral:miRNA from 1 species